GACGAACGCUGGCGGCGUGCUUAACACAUGCAAGUCGAACGAAGUGGCGAACGGGUGAGUAACGAGUAAUCAACCUGCCCUUCAGAGGGGGACAACAGUUGGAAAAGACUGCUAAUACAGCAUACUGAAGGAGGGGAUUGCGUCUGAUUAGUUAGUUGGCGGGGUAACGGCACACCAAGGCGAAGAUCAGUAGCCGGUCUGGUGGGAUGAACGGCCACAUUGGGACUGAGACACGGCCCAGACUUCUACGGGAGGCAGCAGUGGGGAAUCUUCCGCAAUGGACGAAAGUCUGACGGAGCAACGCCGCGGGAGUGAUGACGUCCGUCGGGUUGUAAAGCUCUGUUAUUCGGGACGCGGUACCGGAAUAGAAAGCCACGGCUAACUUCGUGCCAGCAGCCGCGGUAAUAC
rnacentral:rRNA from 1 species